rnacentral:lncRNA from 1 species
GAGGGAUGUUACAUGAGAUUCCAUAAUAAUAAAUUAGAUGCAAUUUGAGCCUUCAGAGAGCAGUAUUGGCUAAGGUACUGCAAGCAUACCCAUACUCAAAAUGUGUAUCAUACCCGGAAAGACAAAGUGUGCCUUCUUAGAGCACCCGAAGAUAAACAGCAAUUGACUCUUUGAUAGGCUGUUGGUAUGAUGCUGAAAGUUCUGAAUUGCAGGAUGAGAAAGUGCAAGACUCAUUGAUUUAAACCCACAACUAGCAUUUGCUAAAUUCUGUAAAAUACAACAGGCAGUCAUCUCUGCCUUGAGAGUUGACAGAAGUCUAAAUCAGAUAUACAAGUGAGACCCAGGAGUCUAAUGAGAUCAAGUGACAAAUGCAGAAUGAGAAACUGAAAUGAAGCUUAGAGUCCAUUACUGACUUCAAAAACAAAAAGUAACCCAGAGAAGACUUCCCUGAAGACCCAGGAAAGCAUCUGAAGUAUUCAACAAGAGCUUAGUUUCCAAAUAGCAUCUUCUUUGCUACAGAAACAAUAAAUGCAUUCACAUCACCUCUGCAGACAGGAUCUGACUUCCAAAAGGAUUCAGUCCCACUGCUUUGGGGUGGCUGCCCCAGGCAAAUUUUGAAUGCCACCAAGAUCUCCCAUAAUUCUCACCAUCAUGUGAUCAAGGCCACACUAAUGUGCUGGAGGAUGAGAGACCACAAGAAAGAGAUCCAAGCUGUCUCAUCUGUCCCAGCCAAGGCCUUCCUAGACUUGCUGGUCCCCAGUCAAACUGCCUGCUGAUGACGGAUAAAUGAAAUGAGUAAGCUCAGCUGAGAUCAGUCAAGUCUGGCUCAGACAAGAAAAAAUGCCCAUUUGGUUCACAGACUGAUGAAUUAAAUAAAUAUGUAUUGUUGUAUGCUACUGAGGUUUUAUGAUUUUUUUGCUAUGCAGCAUUAUGAUGGCAAUAGAUAACCGCUACACCUCCUGACUAAAUUUAUUCACACAGAGUAGAUCUUAAUAUAUGACAGAUCAAGUAGUAAGUAAAUAAUUGAAUAAAUGAAUGAAUAAGUGAAA